AUGAUGGUCUAAGUCCCGCAGCGAGCGCAACCCUUGUCCUUAGUUGCCAGCAUUUGGUUGGGCACUCUAGGGAGACUGCCGGUGACAAACCGGAGGAAGGUGGGGAUGACGUCAAAUCAUCAUGCCCCUUAUGAGUUGGGCUACACACGUGCUACAAUGGACGGUACAAAGGGCAGCGAAGCCGCGAGGUGGAGCCAAUCCCAGAAAGCCGUUCUCAGUUCGGAUUGCAGGCUGCAACUCGCCUGCAUGAAGUCGGAAUCGCUAGUAAUCGCAGGUCAGCAUACUGCGGUGAAUACGUUCCCGGGUCUUGUACACACCGCCCGUCACACCACGAGAGUUUGCAACACCCGAAGUCGGUGAGGUAACCGUAAGGAGCCAGCCGCCGAAGGUGGCAGAUAUGG
rnacentral:rRNA from 1 species